rnacentral:rRNA from 1 species
GUGGACGCCAGUCUGCAUGGAGCCGACCUUGAAAUACCACCCUUUAAUGUUUGAUGUUCUAACGUUGACCCGUGAUCCGGGUUGCGGACAGUGUCUGGUGGGUAGUUUGACUGGGGCGGUCUCCUCCUAAAGAGUAACGGAGGAGCACGAAGGUUGGCUAAUCCUGGUCGGACAUCAGGAGGUUAGUGCAAUGGCAUAAGCCAGCUUGACUGCGAGCGUGACGGCGCGAGCAGGUGCGAAAGCAGGUCAUAGUGAUCCGGUGGUUCUGAAUGGAAGGGCCAUCGCUCAACGGAUAAAAGGUACUCCGGGGAUAACAGGCUGAUACCGCCCAAGAGUUCAUAUCGACGGCGGUGUUUGGCACCUCGAUGUCGGCUCAUCACAUCCUGGGGCUGAAGUAGGUCCCAAGGGUAUGGCUGUUCGCCAUUUAAAGUGGUACGCGAGCUGGGUUUAGAACGUCGUGAGACAGUUCGGUCCCUAUCUGCCGUGGGCGCUGGAGAACUGAGGGGGGCUGCUCCUAGUACGAGAGGACCGGAGUGGACGCAUCACUGGUGUUCGGGUUGUCAUGCCAAUGGCACUGCCCGGUAGCUAAAUGCGGAAGAGAUAAGUGCUGAAAGCAUCUAAGCACGAAACUUGCCCCGAGAUGAGUUCUCCCUGACUCCUUGAGAGUCCUGAAGGAACGUUGAAGACGACGACGUUGAUAGGCCGGGUGUGUAAGCGCAGCGAUGCGUUGAGCUAACCGGUACUAAUGAACCGUGAGGCUUAACCUU